CCAUGGAUUUCAAGGUGGCCAACCCCCUCAAAAAAGAGUACAAGGUCGACGAGGAGGGAGAAAGGGACCGUGUGCGCUGCUGUGGAUAGGACGAUCACGAGCAGGGGGUAUGGCGACUAGAACGGAGUGAGGCUUCGCGGCCGGAUCCAUCUUGGCCCUCUCUCCCCUCCGGCGGUUCCCCCUUUGCUUGCUCGCGCGACUGGCGCGGUAGGCGGAGACUUGCCUCUUCUGCGGCGGCGACGGCAGAGGUAAUCCGAUGUUUAUUGCCAUGACUGCUUGCUUAUGAGUUUGACCUAGUACUUUACAGCUGUUACAUGCUUCAAUCGCUCUCUCCCUGAUUCCUAUAAUAGAUAUUCUGUUCAUCACCACAAAGCGACACAGAUGUAAUUCUUUAAUCUGAUAUUGUCCAAUUAUACUAGUAUAAAGUUUCGUGCAGACUGAUCAUGCAAUUCAUGAACUGGAAUGAACUACACACACUCCUUCCCUUCAAUUUUUUUUAAAUGAAUCCUAGGCUGCAGAUGUUGCCCAGAAAGUUUUCUUAAGAGAUGAUGGAAUUUGCUCCUCAUCCUUUUGAUUUGACCAAAAACUGGGGAAAAAACGUGCAGAUGGUGACUCAAAUACCAAAUCAACAAAUUUCAGUAGUCAAUUUCUCGAUAACUUGCAGAUCAGGUUACAGAUCGACCUUUUUCAGCAUCCACAUUGAUAACUGUAGAAUGAUUUACAACUCAGCAUAAUUUAUUUCAUAUGAAUUUGAACUUAACUGAACUUAACAUCAGGGAACCAUUGCCUUGCUUUGUGCUGCUCAUCUCCUAUGCACAUCUCAGAAGAUGAUCAUCACUGCCUUGAGGAGGCUUGAAGGUGUCUCCCCAUCUUAGCAGCAAGGGUAGACGGCGAUGCAGCGCCUGCGCCGGGGAGGUGUGCACAUCAUCAGCAGCAGCAAGGCAAGGACGAUGGUGACGAGCAGCCCCAGCAGGUUGAACGCUGGCUCAUCAUCUUCCUGGCUGCAACACAGCUUGCCCAUGUUAACUGUUAGAGGGGGAGGAGGAGAUGAGUUCUUGGUAGGAUGAUGAUGAAGGAGAGGAGGGACUUGGUUAAAGGCUUCUUUCUUGGCUUGUGGAAUUUCUUAUGGCAACGACUCUGGAUACAGGACACAGUCAGAUCUAUAUGUAGCAAUUAUAUGUGGACCGUCAACAUCAACUUGAAUUCUGGUAUGUACAUCAUUAGUACUUUAAUUAAGAGACACUUGUUCGGUUGUUCCCACCGUAUCAUAUCAUAUACAAUGCUAACUGCAAUUAAGUACCCUUCCUCAUGUGCAUAAUGACUUUUAAAAAUGGCUACCCAACUCUUUUUUUUAGGUAAAUACAGUAGGGGAGGCCCCUACUGUGUUAAAUAUAUUAAAAUAGUGUUAAAAAAAACUGUACAGAAAGAAAGAAAAGAGGUUAGAACAGAUCUACAAGAAGCAGGGAAAAAAUGACAUCUAAGGAAAAAAAAAAGAGCAAAUGAGUUAGUUAGCGUAAGGAGUCUAUCCAAGCUAGAAAAGGAGCUCUUUUAUCGCUCUUGAAUCUGUGAGCCUGCAGAGUAGCAUCUUCUACAAGUUGAUGCUUCCAAGAAGAGAGGCUUGGCUGCUUAUUUUCAAAGAUAAGGUUGUUUCUUUGUUUCCAAAUGUUCCAGGCAGCAAUGAUGAACACCUCCAUGAAAAGAAGCUGUUGAUUGUUUUGCUGGGUUUCUAUCAUCAUGCUAAAGAAGGGAAGAGAUGAUUUCCACUCAUCAUGCUAAAGAAGGGAAGAGAUGAUUUCCACUGUAAUCCAAUAGCUUGCCAGCAGGAGAUGCUAAACUCACAGCCAAAGAAUAGAUGAAACGCUGUUUCUUCAGUGUUAAGUCUACAGAGGAUGCAAUUGCAGUUGUUGUCAUUUAUCUUUAGGUUUUUCCUCCUGAGAAGAUUCCUUGUAUUCAACAUAUCCAUGAGAAGAAGCUAAGAGAAUACUUUAAGCUUGUUGCUGCACCGCGAUUUCCAUAUUCAUAAAAAAGGUUCUGGUGGCCUGACAUGUAUGUAUGAGAAGUUGUAGAACUUCUUUGAUGAAUAGUUGUUGGAACCCCAAAUGGACUGCCACGAAUCCUUGUUUCCUUCAUGCACUUGUAUCCCUUGUAUCAGUACUUGUAGACUUUGAAAUUCCUGAAAAGCUUGUUCUGAUAGAGGUAAAUAAAAUUGAUCCUCUAUGAUAUUGUUUGUCAAAAACUUUAGCACUGA